rnacentral:misc_RNA from 1 species
AUAAGGCUUUUCUGCUAACAUAUAGGAAUUUUUGAAGAAAGGAAAGCCAGAAAUACCCAAUAUCUUGCUGAUACAAGAUAUUGGGUAUUUCUUUGUUUUUUUUAUUCUGAAUCUUUCUAUUCUGAAUUCAGUUAACGACGAGAUUUAGUAUCCUUUCUUGCAUUUUCAUAACUCGUGAAAUGCCGAGUAGGCACGAAUUCCCCCAAUUUGCGACCUACCAUAGGAUUUGUUAUGUAAAUAGGUAUAUGUUCCUUUCCAUUAUGAAUCGCGAUUGUAUGGCCAACCAUUGUGGGUAGAAUGCUAGAUGCCCGGGACCACGUUACUAUUGUUUCUUUCUCCUCCUUCAUAUUGACCUUUUCGAUUUUUGCCAAUAAAUGAUGAGCUACAAAAGGAUUCGUUUUUUUUCGUGUCACAGCUGAUUACUCCUUUUUUUCCUUUUUAAAGAGUGGCAUUCUAUGUCCAAUAUCUCGAUCGAAGUAUGGAGGUCAGAAUAAAUAGAAUAAUGAUGAAUGGAAAAAAGAGAAAAAUCCUUUAGCUGGAUAAGGGGCGGAUGUAGCCAAGUGGAUCAAGGCAGUGGAUUGUGAAUCCACCCAUGCGCGA